UACGGAGGGUGCAAGCAUUAAUCGGAUUUACUGGGCGUAAAGGGCGCGUAGGCGGGGCUGCAAGUCAGAUGUGAAAUACCGGAGCUCAACUUCGGUGCUGCAUUUGAAACUACAGGUCUGGAGGAUAGGCGGAGAAAAUGGAAUUCCACGUGUAGCGGUGAAAUGCGUAGAUAUGUGGAAGAAUACCAGUGGCGAAGGCGAUUUUCUAGCUUAUUCCUGACGCUAAAGCGCGAAAGCAAGGGGAGCAAACAGG
rnacentral:misc_RNA from 1 species